rnacentral:rRNA from 1 species
CAGCAGCCACGGUAAUACAGAGGGUGCGAGCGUUAAUCGGAUUUACUGGGCGUAAAGCGUGCGUAGGCGGCUUCUUAAGUCGGAUGUGAAAUCCCUGAGCUUAACUUAGGAAUUGCAUUCGAUACUGGGAAGCUAGAGUAUGGGAGAGGAUGGUAGAAUUCCAGGUGUAGCGGUGAAAUGCGUAGAGAUCUGGAGGAAUACCGAUGGCGAAGGCAGCCAUCUGGCCUAAUACUGACGCUGAGGUACGAAAGCAUGGGGAGCAAACAGGAUUAGAGACCCCAGUAGUCCCUGUCUCUUAUAC